UUAAACACUGAAAUCUAAAAACGCUUGUUUAAAUGCUGAAAUCGUAAAACUUUUGGUUAAACUUUUGAUUGCUAAUGUGUUGCUAGGCAGUUGCUAUCAUUUCUGAAAAGGUUGCUAAGCUGUUGCUAGGCAGUUGCUAAUGUUUUCCAGGUGGUUGCUAAGCUAUUGCUAACUGGUUGCUAGGCAAUUGCUAACAUAUACCAGGUAGUUGCUAAGGUGUUGCUAGGUGGUUGCUAGGGUGUUGCUAGGUUGUUGCUAAGGUGUUGCUAUGGUAUCUGGGGUGGUUGCUAAGAUGUUGCUACGUGGUUGCUAGGGUGUUGCUAUGGUAUCCGGGGUGGUUGCUAAGGUGUCGCUAGGUGGUUGCUAGGGUGUUGCUAGGUGGUUGCUAAGGUGUUGCUAUGGUAUCUGGGGUGGUUGCUAAGGUGUUUCUAAGUGGUUGCUAGGUGGUUGCUAAGGUGUUGCUAUGGUAUCUGGGGUGGUUGCUAAGGUGUUUCUAGGUGGUUGCUAGGUGGUUGCUAAGGUGUUGCUAUGGUAUCUGGGGUGGUUGCUAAGGUGUUUCUAGGUGGUUGCUAGGUGGUUGCUAAGGUGUUGCUAUGGUAUCUGGGGUGGUUGCUAAGAUGUUGCUACGUGGUUGCUAGGGUGUUGCUAUGGUAUCCGGGGUGGUUGCUAAGGUGUCGCUAGGUGGUUGCUAGGGUGUUGCUAGGUGGUUGCUAAGGUGUUGCUAUGGUAUCUGGGGUGGUUGCUAAGGUGUUUCUAAGUGGUUGCUAGGUGGUUGCUAAGGUGUUGCUAUGGUAUCUGGGGUGGUUGCUAAGGUGUUUCUAGGUGGUUGCUAGGUGGUUGCUAAGGUGUU